rnacentral:snRNA from 1 species
GUGCUUGCCCUGGCAGUACACACACCAAAACCGACACCACACAGAGAUUAGCGUGGACCCUGGGCAAGGGUGACAUAAAAGUCUGUGAAGCAUUCCAUAUUUAU